rnacentral:rRNA from 1 species
UACAGAGGUCCCGAGCGUUGUUCGGAUUCAUUGGGCGUAAAGGGUGCGUAGGCGGCGGGGCAAGUCUGAUGUGAAAUCCCGGGGCUCAACCCCCGGAACUGCAUUGGAUACUGCCUUGCUAGAGUACUGGAGAGGGAACUGGAAUUUACGGUGUAGCAGUGAAAUGCGUAGAGAUCGUAAGGAAGGCCAGUGGCGAAGGCGAGUUCCUGGACAGUUACUGACGCUGAGGCACGAAGGCCAGGGGGAGCAAACAGG